rnacentral:misc_RNA from 1 species
CAGGGGAGAUUUCUUCAGCAAUGGAACAAAGUAUUUGUAUUGAUUUGUAUAAUUGCGGUGUCACUGGAUCCGUUGUUCUUCUAUAUUCCUGUCAUAGAUAACGACAGAAAGUGCCUCGAUUUGGACAGGACGUUAAAGAUCACUGCUUGUGUUCUUCGUUCUAUCACUGAUCUUUUCUAUAUCUUUCACAUUAUCUUGCAAUUUCGUACUGGUUACAUUGCUCCUCCUUCUCGAAUUUUUGGAAGAGGUGAGUUGGUUGAAGAUUCCUAUGAUAUAGCCAAGCGAUAUUUGUUAUCAUAUUUCAUCGUUG